rnacentral:rRNA from 1 species
GACGAACGCUGGCGGCGUGCAUAACACAUGCAAGUCGAACGGAAAGGCCCUGCUUUUGUGGGGUGCUCGAGUGGCGAACGGGUGAGUAACACGUGAGUAACCUGCCCUUGACUUUGGGAUAACUUCAGGAAACUGGGGCUAAUACCGGAUAGGAGCUCCUGCUGCAUGGUGGGGGUUGGAAAGUCUCGGCGGUUGGGGAUGGACUCGCGGCUUAUCAGCUUGUUGGUGGGGUAGUGGCUUACCAAGGCUUUGACGGGUAGCCGGCCUGAGAGGGUGACCGGCCACAUUGGGACUGAGAUACGGCCCAGACUCCUACGGGAGGCAGCAGUGGGGAAUAUUGCACAAUGGGCGGAAGCCUGAUGCAGCAACGCCGCGUGCGGGAUGACGGCCUUCGGGUUGUAAACCGCUUUCGCCUGUGACGAAGCGUGAGUGACGGUAAUGGGUAAAGAAGCACCGGCUAACUACGUG